ACUUUCAACAAUGGAUCUCUUGGCUCUCGCAUCAAUGAAGAACGCAGCGAAAUGCGAUAAGUAAUGUGAAUUGCAGAAUUCAGUGAAUCAUCGAAUCUUUGAACGCACCUUGCGCUCCUUGGUAUUCCGAGGAGCAUGCCUGUUUGAGUGUCA
rnacentral:rRNA from 1 species